rnacentral:rRNA from 1 species
GUUGAACGCUGGCGGCAUGCUUUACACAUGCAAGUCGAACGGUAACAGGCCGCAAGGUGCUGACGAGUGGCGAACGGGUGAGUAAUGCAUCGGAACGUGCCCAGUCGUGGGGGAUAACUGCUCGAAAGAGCAGCUAAUACCGCAUACGAUCUAUGGAUGAAAGCGGGGGACCGUAAGGCCUCGCGCGAUUGGAGCGGCCGAUGUCAGAUUAGGUAGUUGGUGGGGUAAAGGCUCACCAAGCCAACGAUCUGUAGCUGGUCUGAGAGGACGACCAGCCACACUGGGACUGAGACACGGCCCAGACUCCUACGGGAGGCAGCAGUGGGGAAUUUUGGACAAUGGGGGCAACCCUGAUCCAGCAAUGCCGCGUGCAGGAAGAAGGCCUUCGGGUUGUAAACUGCUUUUGUACGGAACGAAACGGUCUGGGUUAAUACCCUGGGCUAAUGACGGUACCGUAAGAAUAAGCACCGGCUAACUACGUGCCAGCCGCCGCCGUAAUAC